UUCGUUUAUCAUAUAUUUUUCAUCUAACAUUUUGCAUCUACACAAUUAUAUCUUUCAGGAAGAGGAGACAUUCAUAGUCGCGUUGUCACAUACAUCCUUGACGAAGAAACAGACGGGGGCUACCAGGAGAUAGAAGAGAGAGGAUACGUUCAUCAGCGGGAAGACGAAAACGACGG